rnacentral:tRNA from 1 species
AUCAAAGGCUAUGGUUCAGCGGUAGAGCGCCUCGUUUAAUGACCUGGAGUGUCUACAGUUCGAAUCCGUAUAGCCCUA